CAGUAGUACCUGCCUUUAAGACGAGGAUAACAAAUGGAAACAUUUGCUAAGACUGGAUAGGAAACAAGAAGGCAUCUUUUUGUUUUUAAAAGACCUCCUAAAAAAAGGUAUGCUUAAAGAGGGGCUUGCGCCACAUUAGUUUGUUGGUAAGGUAAUGGCUUACCAAGACUAUGAUGUGUAGCUGGACUGAGAGGUUGAACAGCCACAUUGGGACUGAGACACGGCCCAAACUCCUACGGGAGGCAGCAGUAGGGAAUUUUCGGCAAUGGAGGAAACUCUGACCGAGCAAUGCCGCGUGAACGAUGAAGUAUUUCGGUAUGUAAAGUUCUUUUAUUGAAGAAGAAAAAUAGUGGAAAAACUAUCUUGACGCUAUUCAAUGAAUAAGCCCCGGCUAACUAUGUGCCAGCAGCCGCGGUAAGACAUAGGGGGCGAGCGUUAUCCGGAAUUAUUGGGCGUAAAGGGUGCGUAGGCGGUUAGUUAAGUCUAUAAUUUAAUUUCAACGCUUAACGUUGUUUUGUUAUAGAAACUGCCUAACUAGAGUGAGAUAGAGGCAAGUGGAAUUCCAUGUGUAGCGGUAAAAUGUGUAAAUAUAUGGAGGAACACCAGAAGCGUAGGCGGCUUGCUGGGUCUUUACUGACGCUGAGGCACGAAAGCGUGGGUAGCAAACAGGAUUAGAUACCCUGGUAGUCCACGCCGUAAACGAUGAGUACUAAGUGUCAGGGUAAAACUUGGUACUGAAGUUAACACAUUAAGUACUCCGCCUGAGUAGUACGUACGCAAGUAUGAAACUUAAAGGAAUUGACGGGACUCCGCACAAGCGGUGGAUCAUGUUGUUUAAUUCGAAGAUACACGAAAAACCUUACCAGGUCUUGACAUACUCUGCAAAGUUAUAGAAAUAUAAUGGAGGUAUCAGGGAUACAGGUGGUGCAUGGUUGUCGUCAGCUCGUGUCGUGAGAUGUUAGGUUAAGUCCUAAAACGAGCGCAACCCUUGUCGUUAUUACAGCGUAAG
rnacentral:rRNA from 1 species